rnacentral:tRNA from 1 species
GGUAAGAUGGCCGAGAGUAGGCAGCGGACUGUAGUUUCGCCCACGGGCACAUGCCCUCUUAUCA